AUUGAACGCUGGCGGCAAGCCUAACACCUGCAAGUCGAACGAGUGGCGGACGGGUGAGUCAUGUCUGGGAAACUGCCUGAUGGAAGGGGAUAACUACUGGAAACGGUAGCUAAUACCGCAAACCAUCGGAUGUGCCCAGAUUGGAUUAGCUAGUAGGGGGGGUAAAGGCUCAACUAGGCGACGAUCCAUAGCUGGUCUGAGAGGAUGACCAGCCAAAAUGGAACUGAGACACGGUCCAGACUCCUACGGGAGGCAGCAGUGGGGAAUAUUGGACAAUGGGCGCAAGCCUGAUGCAGCCAUGCCGCGUGUAUGAAGAAGGCCUUCGGGUUGUAAAGUACUUUCAGCGGGGAGGCGUUACCCGCAGAAGAAGCCCCGGCUAACUCCGUGCCAGCCGCCGCGGUAAUAC
rnacentral:rRNA from 1 species